AGUGAACGCUGGCGGUAGGCCUAACACAUGCAAGUCGAACGGCAGCACAGUAAGAGCUUGCUCUUACGGGUGGCGAGUGGCGGACGGGUGAGGAAUACAUCGGAAUCUACUUUUUCGUGGGGGAUAACGUAGGGAAACUUACGCUAAUACCGCAUACGACCUACGGGUGAAAGCAGUGGAUCUUCGGACCUUGCGCGAUUGAAUGAGCCGAUGUCGGAUUAGCUAGUUGGCGGGGUAAAGGCCCACCAAGGCGACGAUCCGUAGCGGGUCUGAGAGGAUGAUCAGCCACACUGGAACUGAGACACGGUCCAGACUCCUACGGGAGGCAGCAGUGGGGAAUAUUGGGCAAUGGGCGCAAGCCUGAUCCAGCCAUACCGCGUGAGUGAAGAAGGCCUUCGGGUUGUAAAGCCCUUUUGUUGGGAAAGAAAAGCAGCAGGUUAAUACCCCGCUGUUCUGACGGUACCCAAAGAAUAAGCACCGGCUAACUUCGUG
rnacentral:rRNA from 1 species